rnacentral:rRNA from 1 species
UGCAGUCGAGCGAAGAGAUGGGAGCUUGCUCCCUGAUCUUAGCGGCGGACGGGUGAGUAACACGUGGGCAACCUGCCCUGCAGACUGGGAUAACUCCGGGAAACCGGAGCUAAUACCGGGUAAUACAUCGCACCGCAUGGUGCAAUGUUGAAAGUUGGCCUUUGGCUAACACUGCAGGAUGGGCCCGCGGCGCAUUAGCUAGUUGGUAAGGUAAUGGCUUACCAAGGCGACGAUGCGUAGCCGACCUGAGAGGGUGAUCGGCCACACUGGGACUGAGACACGGCCCAGACUCCUACGGGAGGCAGCAGUAGGGAAUCUUCCGCAAUGGACGAAAGUCUGACGGAGCAACGCCGCGUGAGUGACGAAGGCCUUCGGGUCGUAAAGCUCUGUUGUUAGGGAAGAACAAGUACCGUUCGAAUAGGGCGGUACCUUGACGGUACCUAACCAGAAAGCCACGGCUAACUACGUGCCAGCAGCCGCGGUAAUACGUAGGUGGCAAGCGUUGUCCGGAAUUAUUGGGCGUAAAGCGCGCGCAGGCGGUCUUUUAAGUCUGAUGUGAAAGCCCACGGCUCAACCGUGGAGGGUCAUUGGAAACUGGAGGACUUGAGUGCAGAAGAGGAGAGUGGAAUUCCACGUGUAGCGGUGAAAUGCGUAGAUAUGUGGAGGAACACCAGUGGCGAAGGCGGCUCUCUGGUCUGUAACUGACGCUGAGGCGCGAAAGCGUGGGGGAGCAAACAGGAUUAGAUACCCUGGUAGUCCACGCCGUAAACGAUGAGUGC